GGCGGAAGUGGUUGGAGACUGCGUGUUUUCCUAGAAAGUCCUCGACCUUCGUCGGGGAGAGGAGGGGAGUGAUAAAUUGGAAGGCGGACAAGCGACAAGUGCGGUACUGGAAAGACCCAAACAUACUUGGUUGUGACCUCAGGUCACAUCUCCCAAGAAGCAGUAAUGUUCCAGCAAUAAGAAAAGGACAGUUUUUUGUCUUUUGCAUGGUGAGCCUUAUAUGAAUUACAUCAAUUUUGUCACCAAUAUCCAUCAUCAGAACAUUUUGAUUCUACAUAACACAUUGCAAAUGGUCACAACAAUCAAGACUAUAUCCAUAGAUGUCCCAGAAAUAAUAUCUGACUAUACAGAGCAGCAUUACCAAGCCACCAAGAAGUCUGCCUAGUAAUGACAAUGAUAACAACAGCUAACACUUAGUAAGUGCUUGUGAUGCAUCUGGCAUUCUUCCAGGUACUUUCCUUAAAUGCAUGUGACAACCCUAUGAAGUUAUUACAAUUACAGUCCUCAUUUUACAGAUGGGGGAACUGAGGCACAGAGCAGUGGUAUAGGUGCUCAAGCUGGUAAAUAGCAGAGCUGGGAUUUCAACUCGGGCAGUCUGGUUCCAGAGUCAGAGCAGAAGCAUGGCACCUGCUGUCUCUCUACAGACAGCAAAGGGGUUGGGG
rnacentral:lncRNA from 1 species